rnacentral:rRNA from 1 species
UACGUAGGGUGCAAGCGUUGUCCGGAAUUAUUGGGCGUAAAGAGCUCGUAGGCGGUUUGUCGCGUCUGCUGCGAAAACUCAGGGCUUAACCCUGAGCCUGCAGUGGGUACGGGCAGACUAGAGUGUGGUAGGGGAGAUCGGAAUUCCUGGUGUAGCGGUGGAAUGCGCAGAUAUCAGGAGGAACACCGGUGGCGAAGGCGGAUCUCUGGGCCAUAACUGACGCUGGAGGAGCGAAAGCGUGGGGAGCGAACAGGA